rnacentral:rRNA from 1 species
GACGAACGCUGGCGGCGUGCUUAACACAUGCAAGUCGAACGGUGAAGCGCCUUCCUUUUUGGUGGGUGUGGAUGAGUGGCGAACGGGUGAGUAACACGUGAGUAACCUGCCCCCUUCUUCUGGAUAACCGCAUGAAAGUGUGGCUAAUACGGGAUAUUCUGGGUCUGUCGCAUGAUGGGUCUGGGAAAGAUAUUGUUUCGGUGGGGGAUGGGCUCGCGGCCUAUCAGCUUGUUGGUGGGGUGAUGGCCUACCAAGGCGGUGACGGGUAGCCGGCCUGAAAGGGUGGACGGUCACACUGGGACUGAGACACGGCCCAGACUCCUACGGGAGGCAGCAGUGGGGAAUAUUGCACAAUGGGCGCAAGCCUGAUGCAGCGACGCCGCGUGAGGGAUGGAGGCCUUCGGGUUGUGAACCUCUUUCGCCAGUGAAGCAGGCCUGCCUCGUUUGUGGGUGGGUUGACGGUAGCUGGAUAAGAAGCGCCGGCUAACUACGUG